rnacentral:rRNA from 1 species
AUCGGGGUAGGAGACAGUGUCAGGUGGGCAGUUUGACUGGGGCGGUCGCCUCCUAAAAAGUAACGGAGGCGCCCAAAGGUUCCCUCAGAAUGGUUGGAAAUCAUUCGUAGAGUGUAAAGGCACAAGGGAGCUUGACUGCGAGACCUACAAGUCGAGCAGGGACGAAAGUCGGGCUUAGUGAUCCGGUGGUUCCGCAUGGAAGGGCCAUCGCUCAACGGAUAAAAGCUACCCCGGGGAUAACAGGCUUAUCUCCCCCAAGAGUCCACAUCGACGGGGAGGUUUGGCACCUCGAUGUCGGCUCAUCGCAUCCUGGGGCUGUAGUCGGUCCCAAGGGUUGGGCUGUUCGCCCAUUAAAGCGGUACGCGAGCUGGGUUCAGAACGUCGUGAGACAGUUCGGUCCCUAUCCGUCGUGGGCGUAGGAAAUUUGAGAGGAGCUGUCCUUAGUACGAGAGGACCGGGAUGGACGCACCGCUGGUGUACCAGUUGUCUUGCCAAAGGCAUCGCUGGGUAGCUAUGUGCGGACGGGAUAAGUGCUGAAAGCAUCUAAGCAUGAAGCCCCCCUCAAGAUGAGAUUUCCCAUAGCGUAAGCUAGUAAGAUCCCUGAAAGAUGAUCAGGUUGAUAGGUCAGAGAUGGAAGCGUGGCGACAUGUGGAGUUGACUGAUACUAAUAGAUCGAGGACUUAACCA